rnacentral:rRNA from 1 species
GAUGAACGCUGGCGGCGUGCCUAAUACAUGCAAGUCGAGCGAACAGACGAGGAGCUUGCUCCUCUGACGUUAGCGGCGGACGGGUGAGUAACACGUGGAUAACCUACCUAUAAGACUUGGAUAACUUCGGGAAACCGGAGCUAAUACCGGAUAAUAUAUUGAACCGCAUGGUUCAAUAGUGAAAGACGGUUUUGCUGUCACUUAUAGAUGGAUCCGCGCCGCCUUAGCUGGUUGGUAAGGUAACGGCUUACCAAGGCAACGAUGCGUAGCCGACCUGAGAGGGUGAUCGGCCACACUGGAACUGAGACACGGUCCAGACUCCUACGGGAGGCAGCAGUAGGGAAUCUUCCGCAAUGGGCGAAAGCUUGACGGAGCAACGCCGCGUGAGUGAUGAAGGUCUUCGGAUCGUAAAACUCUGUUAUUAGGGAAGAACAAAUGUGUAAGUAACUAUGCACGUCUUGACGGUACCUAAUCAGAAAGCCACGGCUAACUACGUG